rnacentral:lncRNA from 1 species
UAACCUAAAACCUAAUCUCCUUUCUCUCUGAAAUCGCCGCCCCACCCCCGCCGUAUCUUCGCCGCCCGGAAAUUGUCUCACGGCGGCGGAGCAUCUCCAAAUUCCCUCAAAUAUCAUCCAUACAAUCUCCAUCAUCCCCUUGUUCAUAUCCUGCCAUUGAUGUCCCCAAAAGACCAUUUGUUUUCUCCGAACUAGGGAUCUAAAAAUAAAAAUCCUAACUUUUUGUUCUUUGUUCGUUUUUCUUGACCCAGCCCUUCAUUCAUAGUAAAAUCCGUGUGAAUUCCCCAAUUUUUCAACAAAGGGAGUGCGUUGAUGUCAAGAAUGCCUCAUCCCAUAGAUUUGGCCGGAUUCCGGGCGAUUGACCACUGUUUAUCCAAGUUCAUUGAUACCUCCGCCUCGUUUCUUUCUUGGCACAUGGUGAGGAUUGCUGCAUGAAUCACUGGGCAUGGAUGAAAGUUCAGCUAAUAUUCGUGUUACAAUUUUCACCAUUUGGCUGAGAUUCUUGUUCGUCGGAGUUCAAGUUUGAGUCGUCACCGUUUCUCAGAGAUUUCAAGGCUUUGUUUGAUUCAAUCAGUAUACCCUCUUCUCCUUUUCUGUAAGUUCAAUUAAUGGUCACGUGUCACAAUCUCGAACCGGAAAGUCUUAGUACAAAUUAGAGUUUUUGGCGUUUUAUUAAUUAAUCAGUGAUUUAGCUUUUAAUUUGCAUUUUUUUAAUGUGGUGCAAUUCAAAAAAUAUGUUGUCUCAGUCCUCAUGUUUGGAUGCCAUUUUUCUUUGAUUUUGUUGGUUAUCGAUUGUUUGACUCAGACUUGGGUUUGUUUGUACACAACGGUCAGGCCUAUUAGAUAAGGGAUUUGGUCAAAAAGGGUCCAAGAUCUUUUAAGGCCUGUCCGGUGGCCCAAGUCUACUUUUAAAAAAGCUGGGAGGUUAAUAUGGAGAUUUAACUUAGAGAUUAUUGGAUAAAUACUUAGGAAGGUUCUAGGAAAAGGGGGAGUGGGGUAACUGAUUGAAUGGUUUAAAUAUUGGGGGUCCAAGUGAACAAAAGGAGAAUUGAAGAGAGUGGGGAUUGAAUUAAGAAAAUCUGAUUUUGUUGCCCUAAAUCCCCUCUAUAAAAGACCCUCUUUCCAAUCAUUAGGAAAUCAAAACAUAAAAAAAAACGGCAGCAAAAUUUUCUUUCUAUAGCCUGAAAUUGGUUUUCUCUCUGGAAAAAGUUUGGAAGUGGUAUUUUUCUGGGAAAUUUUUAAACUUCUAAGCUGAAAUGAAGCUGGACUUUGAGGUUGUUUGAGUUGGGUUUCCAUUGUUGUUCACUGCUCAUGGUCUCCUUUAUUGUUCAUUUAGUUGAUACCAGUAUUUUCCUUUCCCUUUUGUUGUAUCCAGGUACUCUCAUAAAAGAAAAUGUGGUUAUAACAUGCUGGCUAGAAAGUAAAAAGCUCCAGAUCCAUUUUUGUUCAAAUGGUUUCUCUUUGUUUCUUCCUUUCCUUGUAAUUUUCUUCCAUUUGUUUGAGUUGUUGGUCUUUAAAUUUGAUGUUCACUGUUGUGUAGUUUAGUCCUGAUGUUUGGUUUGAAAGACAGAG